AGAGCGAACGCUGGCGGCAGGCCUAACACAUGCAAGUCGAGCGGCCGUAGCAAUACGGCAGCGGCAGACGGGAUAGUAACACGUGGGAACGCGCCCUUCGGUUCGGAAUAACUCAGGGAAACUUGAGCUAAUACCGGAUACGCCCUUACGGGGAAAGAUUUAUUGCCGAAGGAACGGCCCGCGUCCGAUUAGCUAGUUGGUGAGGUAAUGGCUCACCAAGGCUCCGAUCGGUAGCUGGUCUGAGAGGAUGACCAGCAUCACUGGGACUGAGACACGGCCCAGACUCCUACGGGAGGCAGCAGUGGGGAAUAUUGGACAAUGGGCGCAAGCCUGAUCCAGCCAUGCCGCGUGGAUGAUGAAGGCCUUAGGUUGUAAGUCCUUUUAACGGGGAAGAUAAUGACGGUACCGUAGAAUAAGCCCGGCUAACUUCGUGCCAGCAGCCGC
rnacentral:rRNA from 1 species